UUCAACAGUUUGCACCCACACAGAUACACAAAGUAUAAUGUACUGUUUGAGUACUAGUUUUACCGUUAAUUCGCAUAGUACAACACAUUAAGGACAGAGAUCCUACAUGGGAAGUAGGUGCACAGUGACUCCUAUUGUUGAUUUAACAAUUGACACUCUUAUUUAUGAUGUCAGUAAUCACCCGAGGCUCUUGUCAUGAGCUUCCAAGGCUAUGGAAGCCUCUUGAGUUCACCAACUCCGAUCUCAUUUAGACAAGGCCAUAGUUUGACUAUGUGGAAGUUCUCUCCUCCCUUCACAGAAAGAUACCUUAGAGUGAUUUUUGAUUGUAUCUUGGACAUUUAUUUUUUUGCAUAUGCAGACUAGACUCUUAUCUAUUUAUGUUUUCUGUUUUAGCAGGCAGUCACCCUGUUCAGCUUCAGAUUGUAAGUCCUGGCCUACUUCUAUUGGCUCUAGUUCUAUAUCUGCUUAGUUCCUUUGCAAUGCUCUUCUGGUCUGACUCAUUCUUGUGGCACUUCUGGGGCCCCCUCCCAUCCCUGCUGAUCUUGCCUGGAGGGAUGAAAGGCAGUUUCCUGGGUUGCCUUGUGUUGCUGGCCCACCUCCUUCUCCUCUUUCUUCUUCUCCUUUGCCUCCUCCUCCUCCACCUUCUUCUUCUUCUCUUUAAUAUUUAUUUAUAUAAAUAUAUUUUUAAAAUAUUUUAUAUUUAAGAAGCAGAGUUACAGAGAGAAAGAUAGAGAGAGAGAGACAGAGAGAGACAGAGAGAGAGGUCUUCUGCCUGCUGGUUCACUCACCAAAUGGCCACAAUGCCCAAGGCUGGGCCUAUGUGAAGCCAGGAGCCAGGAGCUGCUUCUGGGCCUCCACAGGUGCAGGGGUCCAAGCACUUGGGCCAUCUUCCACUGCUUUUCCAGGCGAUUAACAGUGAGCUAAAUCAGAAGUGGAGCAGCUAGGAUUCCAACUUGGCAGCCCUAUGAGAUCCUGGCAUCACAGGUGGACGCUUAACCUACUAACCAUAGCACCAGUCCCUGCUGGCCCACCUUCUGUCACUGGGUUGUCUCCUUAUGCAGCUGGAUAGAGGGCAGGGCAGUGUUUGGUACUGCUGAGAAUGACUCUGCAGGAGGGUUGGCCAGCUUACCUGUGCCCUGGUUGGCUUUCCAUCAGGACCCUUUCCCAGGCUUUUGGAGGAGAGAGCAGGAGAGAGACUUAUCUCCUUGUCUCUGUCUAUGCCGUUGGAGGGUCUGAAUUGCAGGCUUCUCUGAUCUCUUAGAAAAAUCAAGAGACUUCUUUGUUUUUCCUCAAGUGUUGGGGUCCCCAGUCAGUUCUCCACCUUCUUCUUAGGCUUUUAUCAUCAUGUAUUACAGUCUCCAGGGUUGCUUGGUUAUAUUUAGGGGAGAUAAGCAGGGAGAAAUGAGUUAUGUGUCAUCUUGUUUCAGAUCUGGAAAGCUUAAAUGGAUUUUGAAAUACAGAGAGUUCUUUUGCACCUGCAGUGAAGCCAAGCAUUGCUGCUAUAACUAUCAUUUGAGUUCCAAAUAUAUCUAUCAUGCUGCACCUUGGUGUAGGAAUGGAGAUCUUGUUUCUUGUUUUAAAUUUUAACAACACAAGAAGUGUAUGAAGUGGCUUGAUGUUACUUAUGAUUACUGUGCCCUAACAAUAGUAGUGGUUGAUGAAAUGAAUUUAUCACACUAUGAGUGCUGUAUAUAAACACUAUGUUGUGCCUUGUCAGUUUAGGCCAACUUCAUUAAGAAACAAGAUCAAACCGGUAGCAAAAUCUCAUUCCCAAGGUUGCUCUGUGUUUGGGAGUGGUGGUUGAGGGUGGUUCCUCCAGCCGUUGUUUAAUUUAUUUUUUAUUUUUGACAGAGUGGACAGUGUGAGAGAAAGAGACAGAGAGAAAGGUCUUCCUUUGCCGUUGGUUCACCCUCCAAUGGCUGCCGUGGCCAGCGCACUGCGGCCGGUGCACCACGCUGAUCUGAAGCCAGGAGCCAGGUGCUUCUCCUGGUCUCCCAUGAGGUGCAGGGCCCAAGCACUUGGGCCAUCCUCCACUGCCCUCCCGGGCCAUAGCAGAGAGCUGGCCUGGAAGAGGGACAACCGGGACAGAAUCCGGCGCCCUGACCGGGACUAGAACCUGAUGUGCCGGCGCUGCAAGGCGGAGGCUUAGCCUGUUGAGCCGCGGCGCCGGCCCCCUCCAGCCAUUUUAAAAGCAUACAAGACGUUUUCACUUUGGCCUAUGCAAAAACAAGCAGAGAUCCUGAAGGUGCCUAUUUCUGCUCUUCAGCCACGGCGGUUGCAGGACAAAUGCAUAAAACCUUGCUGCCCAAGUAGACAGAGCCACAGAAGGAACUAAUUAUGAAGAUCAAGUGGUCAUCCAUUUGCAGGAUUUGCCGCUGUAAUCAAAAGAGGGUUGAUCUGACACACAUUUCCUGAUGUGCAUCGUCAUUACUGGGCUGCAAGAUAAUUAGGCAUGAAUGAUGAGCAGGAUUAGCUACUCUUUCUUGAGCAAACACUUCUGCUGAAGGUUGCACAUGACAUCAUCAUCGAAGUCCAGCAACACAACUGUGUGAAGGGCUCAGUAAGUGAGUGCUACAGCUGAUGUGAAACCACAGACAUGGAGGGCUGACUGUAUUAAUUCGAGUACCUACUUCAUCUUCAGAGGAACAUGAAGAGGUCAACAAGCCUUAAUUGUUGAGCCAGUGGAGUGAACGUGAGUUAAUGGAAAGGGAAGGGGGGAAAGCAGAGAGUAUGGGAUUAGUGUUUUUCUCCUGGCAUCAUAACUGUCUUUGCUCAGGAAAGUGCCAGAGGGUGGGAAGUGGGACCUGAGAGCAUUCUGUCCUUUAUCCACUACUGGAGGGUGACAAGGAGGCUGUGAGGUCAGCCUGGUGAUAUUGAUGAUGUUGUGUGCAUGGAUGUUGUAUUGAUUGAAUGAGGCAAGGUGAGACCUCAGAAAAGGAACCUGGAUGGAAACUGUAAAUCUGAGUAGAAGUUGAAACCAUGAGAAUGUCUCUGUUCUCCUGGGAGAGAGUCCAGAGCCUGGGCUGGCAAAUGCUGGCUGCUAAGACAAAUUCAGCCUGCUGCCUGCUGCUAUAAAUCAAGUUUUCUUAGAAUCUGGCCAUGCCAAAGCAUUUACAUACUAUCUGUGCCUGCCUUUGUGCAGUAAUGGCCAAGUUGAGCAGUUGGCAAUAUUGACUUUAUAUUAAUAAUCUGAUCUUAAAUAGAAAAGUUUGCUAAGCCCCAGUGUAUAGAGUGUGGGAAAACAGUGGGUGUAGAGUCAAUCCUCAAAGAGAUCUAAAUUUGUUUAAGUGAAAAAAGAAACUUAUUUGAGAAGCUGAAGGGAGAGAAUGUGUACAGAGACAGAGUGUGUUCGCUGGUUCACUUCCCUAACGUCUGCAAAGACGUGGGCAGAGUGGCUGAAGCUAUGAGCCAGGAACUUAAUUCACGUUUUCCACAUGAGUUGGCAGGAACCCAACUACCCAAGUCAUCACUACUGCUUCCCAGGAUCUGGAUUGGCAGGAAGCUAGAGUCAGGAGCCAGAGACAGGACUCAAACCCAGGCACACUCAUAUGGAAUGAUAGUAUGUCAACCACUAGGCCAACUGCCCGUGCCACAGGAUCCAAGGCUGAACCUACAGGUAAGGAGCAUGCAUAUCCUGGGCCCCUGAGUGAGAGUGGCAGGGAGGAAGGAGAGGAGAGCAAAUUUAUAUGCAAAAGUCAAGAGAAGAGCACGUUUUAAGAAGACAGUGCCAAAAGGUUAAGGAUGUCAGAGGGUAGUGCGGACAGGAUAACCAUCUCCUGAGUGCAGCUGGGGGCUGCUGGGGCCCAAAGAGGAUGUUUCAUUGGAGUGAUGGGCAGAAGCCACUGACACUAAGUUCCUUCCCACUCUCAUCUGUAUGAGGGGUGUCGGGGUUGUGUCAGUCUGUUGGGGCUGCUGGAACAAAAAAAAAACACGAAUUGAGUAGCUCAUGAACAGUAGAAAUCUAUUCUUACAGGAGGCUGAAGGUCAAACAUCAGGGUGCCCCAUGAUUGGGUUCUGGUGAGGGCCUUCUUCCUGGGUUAUAGAGGUCUGACUUUUCCUUUUAGCUCACAUGACAGCAAGAGAGAGCUCUCUGGGGCCCCUGUCCUAAGGGCACUGAUCAUGAAGUCUCCACCCUCACGUUCUGAUCACCUCCCAAAGGCCCCAUCUCCUAACAGCAUGACCUUCGGUGUUGGGAUUUUCACAUAUGAAUUUCAGAGCGCACACACAUUCACUCCAUAACAUCCCACCCCUGACUCCCCAACAUUCAUGUCCUUCUCAAAUGCAAAAUGCAUUCAUUCCAUUCCAACCUCAAAAGUUUUAAUUCAUUCCAGCAUCAAUUGUAAAAUCCAGUCUCAUCUAAAAAUCAUGCAAGUCAGAUGUGGGUGAGACUUGAGGUAUGAUUGAUCCUGAGACAGAUUCCCCUCCAGCUGUGAGACAAAGCUAUGUGACUUCAAAACACACCCAUGGGGGAGGGGGACACACCCAGGGUAGACAUUCCAUUCAAAAGGGAAGUAACAGGCCAGAAGGAAGGGGUGGCAGAUGGCAAGGAUGUCUCAAACCUAGCAAAGCGAACAGUGUGAGAGCUGAAGGCUCAAGAAUAAGCCCCUCGGGCUCAACGCUGCAUUCUCCUUGCCCACUGGGGUAGGAGUCCCCCUUCUGGACCCACUGGGGUAGGAUCCUCAUCCCCUCCCCACCAGGAGUGGAAGGAGAGCAGAGCAGGUGCCACUGGGUAGCUUUAGCUGGUGGUAGGUGGAACGUAGCAAACCUGGGCAAGCACAUGUGAAAGUUAUACUUUUGCCUCAAGGAUUCAGGCUUUUUUUUUGGAAGAUUUAUUCAUUUAUUCUGAAAGUCAGAUUUACACACACACACACACACACACACACAUCUUCCAUUGCUGGUUCACUGCCCAAAUGGCUGCAAUGGCUAGUGCUGUACCAUGUCAAAGCCAGGAGCCAGAAACUUCUAUCUGGGUAUCCCAUAUGGGUGGCAGGGGCCAAAUACUUGAGCUAUCUUCCACUUCUGAGCAGAAGUGGAACAGUUGGGACAUGAAAUGCACCCAUAUUGGAUGCCCGCGUUGCAAGUGACAGCUUUAUCUGCUACGGCACAGUGGUGGCCCUGGAUCCAGACUUACUGUUUAUAGUUUAGGUAUAGUUUAUUUUGUUCCUCAUCCUGACACCAUGUGGCCCAGGCAAAUAUCUCCCUUGCAUGGCUGUGUCCUCUGCACUGCCAAGUCCCUUUAGUGAUGUGACAGUACAGAGGGAACCCCUGCUUUGUAGUGUGUACCUGAGGAGACCCCACCCACUUUGGGACCCCCUACAGCCUCUGGGGAGGUCUUCACUGACAUCUGGAGGUGUGCACUCAAUUAGGGGAGUCCAGGAUUAAAAAACCGUGGCUCACUUGGUUAAUCCUCCGCCUGUGGCGCCGGCAUCCCAUAUGGGUGCUGGAUUCUAGUUCUGAUCGCUCCUCUUCCAGUCCAGCUCUCUGCUGUGGCCCAGGAAUGCAGUGGAGGAUGGCCCAAGUCCUUGGGCCCCAGCACCCACAUGGGAGACCAGGAAGAAGCACCUGGCUCCUGGCUUUGGAUAGGCGCAGCGCCGGCCAUUGUGGCCAUUUGGGGAAUGAACCAACGGAAGGAAGGAAGACCUUUCUCUCUGUCUCUCUCUCUUACUGUUUAUAACUCUACCUGUUAAAUAAAAACAACAACUACAACAACAACAAAUUAAAAAAAAAAAACAUAGGCUGAAGUGUCACUCACUACAGUGGGGCUAACAUCUCCUAAUCCCCACCCCUCUGGCUGUUUCUUGUGAGAAAAUUGCUUUUGCCAUUUGCUUUCUUAAAAUGUUGAAUGAGCCUUGGGGUAUGAGUGGAUGGGAUGGGGGCAUGGGGCAGAGAAUGUCACCUCCGAGCCUUGGCCUGUGGCCGUUAGGCCACAGCUACCAGCUUGAGCAGAGUGGCCGGAAGCAAGGUCUGGCCUGGGUGUUAUUCCCAGUGUGAAAGACAGGAUGGUUUGCCCCGUUCAGAGUUGACUGAAAGCCUUCAACGGCUCCACUCUUCAGAAGCCGAAGUCCUACUCUAAGCUGCUCUGCAGGUUCAGUCUGCCCACAGGGUUUCCCCCAAGCUCCUGCUCACUGCCGGCGGGUGUGCAGGGAGGAGCACGCAGGGAGGGGCCGCCCCUUUAGCCACCUCACCCACAGGGUUGUCCUGGAACUGAUGGGGGGCUCUGUGGAAAUCCUCAGGCGGAUGCUUGUGGGGAUGGGGAUGGGGCGAAGUUGCUCAUUGCUGUGUGGAGCGUGGAGACACGGAACUGGGGUGUCCUGAGUGCUUGUCUCUUGUGGCCUGCAUGGUGGAGAGCGGUGCAUGUGGCCCAUGGGAAGCUUGUUGGUCAGAGGCCAUGGGCUUGUCUUGUGCACAGUGAUGCGGGGGAGUCUCAAACAUGGUACAGUCAUUUUCCCUCGCAAUUACUUGGGGGCGCUGGCUCCAGGACCCACUGGGGACACUCAAGUCCCUUGCACAGAAGGGCACCGUGUUUGCCUAGAAUCCCCACACAUGCUCCUGUAUACCUGAAAUGACCUCCAGAUCACUGGUGUAAUACCUAACACAAUGCAAAUGGUGGGAGACAGGUAUUGUACUGUAUUGUUCAGUACAAUAAUCACAAGAAGGGAGAGUCUUUAUAUGUGCAGAAUGAACACAAUAUGUGUUUUUAGUAUUUUAAUCCCAGGUUGAUUAAGCCCACACAUUCAGAAGGAUUGUCUGUACUGGGGUUAAACAGAUAGGAAAUCUAAUGAGAUAAAUUACACAUCAUUUGCAUAAAUCAAGGAUACAGACACAUAAAAUCAUAAAACUUACUUUGUAAACAACAAAACCAACAUUGCCUGGGGCUGGCGCUGUGGCUUAGUGGGUAAAGUUGCCUCCUGCACUGCUAGCAUCCCAUAUGGGUGAUGGUUCAAGUCCCGGCUGCUCUACUUCUGAUCCAGCUCUCUGCUAUGGCCUGGGAAAGCAGUGGAAGAUGGCCCAAGUGCUUGGGCCCCUGCACAUGCAUGGGAGACCCGGAGGAACUCCUGGCUCCUGGCUUCAGAUUGGCACGGUCUGGCUAUUGUUGGUGCUAUUUGGCCAUUGGGGCCAUUUGGGGAGUGACCCAGUGGAUGGAAGACCUCUCUCUCUGCCUCUGCCUCUCUGUAACUCUAUCUUUGAAAUAAAUCUUAAAAAAAAGACAUUGCCCUUGAAGGAGACUGGAAUUCCUAUGGGAUGCAAUAGAAUUUAAACAUUACAGCAAAAGGGACCUUGUGCAGAUUGAUGGACUGAUGGUAACGUCCCAAGAACUAGGGGAUGUAAUCUAUCAAACUGUCUGCAGUGAAUGUUUAAGAGGCCUUUCAAGGGCCAGUGUGCUGGCACCAUGGGUUAAGUCACCACCUGCAAUGCUGGCAUCCCAUAGGAACACUGGUUCGAGUCUUGGCUACUCCACUUCUGUUCCAACAGCCUGUUAUUGUGCCUGGGAAAAAAAGAAGAGGGGGGGACCAGAUGGAUUUCCAGGGUCCUGGAUUUGGCCUAGCUCAGCCCUGGCCAUUGUAACUAUUUGGGGAGUGAACCAGCAGAUGGAAGAUCUCUGUCUCCCAGUCUCUCAGUUUCUCUCUCUCUUUCAAGUAAAUAAAUGUUUUUAAAAAGUGUGUUUCAAGGCUCUUCUCUUUAAAAGUGUAAUUCCAGGGGUGGAUGUUUAGCCCAGCAGUGAAGACGCCUGUGUCAAACAUCAGAGAACCUGAGUUCAAUCCCAGCUCCAGAUCCUGACUCCAGCGUCCUGCCAUUGCAGACUCGAGGAGGCACUGCUCAUGGCUCAAGUAAUGAGGUUCCCGCCCCCAACGUGGGAGACCUGGAUUGUGAUCCUGACUUCUGUCCCAGCCCAGUUCCUGCUAUUGCAGGCAUUUGGGGGAGUGAAACAGUAGCUGGGAGUCUCUCUGUGUCUAACUCAAAUAAAUAAGUUAACUAAUAAGUUUUUUAAAAAACCCUAUGAAUCCUUAUAACAAGCGUUGGGGAGGAUGAGGAGAAAUUGGUCCUUUUCUACACUGUUGAUGGGAAUGCAAAAUAUGACAGUGGGCAGCUCCUUAAUAAAAUAAAAAUAGAAUUACCAUAUAAUGUGGCAGUUGCAUUUCUCGGUGUUUACUCUAGUAAAUAAAAGCAGGAUCUUGAAGAGAUAGCUGUACACCCAUGUUCACAACAGCAGUAUUCAUGGCAGCCAAAAGGUGGCAGCAACCCAAGUGCACAUAAAGAUGAAUGAACAACAUGUGGUAGAUACACUUUUCAGUCUCGAAAAAGCAGGAAAUCCUGACAUAGGUUACAACGUGGAUAGACUUCAAGGACAUUAUGGUAGAAUCGGCCAAUCACCAAAGGACAAACACUGCACGGCUCCACUUAUCCGAGGGACCUAGAAUACUCAGAUUCACAAAGACAGAAAGUAGGAUGGUGGUUGCUGGGGCUGGGGGUAGGGGGUCAGUGAGUGAAUGUUUAAUGGGUGCAGAGUUGACGUUCUGGAAGAUGAAACGAGCUGCGGAAUGAGUGGUGGUGACAGCUGUACAACAGUGUGAAUGUACUUAACUGAACCAUGCAAAUGAAAAUGGUGAAGGUGGUAAAUUUUAUAUUAUAUUUUACCACACCAAAAAAAAAUAGUUGUAAAAGGGGCUGGCAUUGUGGUGCAGCCACUUGUGACACUGGCAUCCUAUAUUGGAGUACUAGUUCAAGCCCUGGCUGCUCCACUUCCAAUCACACUCCUUGCUAACACACCUGGGAAGGCAACAGGUGAUGGCCCCAGUGGGAGACCAGGAUUAGGUUCCUGGUUCCUGGCUUUGGCCUGGCCCAGACCUGAUUGUUGCAGCCAUUUGGGGAGUGAACCACUAGAUGGAAGAUCUCUCUCUGUCUCUUUCUCCCUCCUCUCUGACACUGUGCCUUUCAAACAAUGAAAUAAUAAAUCUCUUUUAAAAAAAAAUGGUAAGGUUAACCUUAGCAGGUCUAAUGGUCGCGAUAACAAUUUGUAGCCUGGGCCCCACUUGCUUCUGCAGACUUAACUCUGCCGCCUCCUACCUCUCACCUGCUCCCCAUCCUGGGCUCCAGAAGUUAAUGCUCCCUUCCUCUAACCUAGCUACCUCCUGCGGCCUUGGUAUAAUCCUGCUGCUCCCUGCAGAGCCUGCAGAUGGCCCCUCCCUGGGGCAGCAGGACCCCCCCCCCCCCCAGCACAGGCCCCAGCCCUGCGUGCUGGCGCCUUCCAGCAGGCCUCCCAGUGGGGUGGCAGU